rnacentral:rRNA from 1 species
UACGUAGGGAGCAAGCGUUGUCCGGAAUCAUUGGGCGUAAAGCGCGCGUAGGUGGCUUCAUAAGUCCGCUGUGAAAGUCAAAGGCUCAACCUUUGAAAGCCGGUGGAUACUGUGAAGCUAGAGUACGGAAGGGGCGGAGUGGAAUUCCUGGUGUAGCGGUGGAAUGCGCAGAUAUCAGGAGGAACACCAAUAGCGAAGGCAGCUCGCUGGGACGUUACUGACACUGAGGCGCGAAAGCGUGGGGAGCGAACAGG